rnacentral:rRNA from 1 species
AUGAACGCUGGCGGCGUGCCUAAUACAUGCAAGUCGAGCGAACAGACGAGGAGCUUGCUCCUCUGACGUUAGCGGCGGACGGGUGAGUAACACGUGGAUAACCUACCUAUAAGACUGGGAUAACUUCGGGAAACCGGAGCUAAUACCGGAUAAUAUAUUGAAGCGCAUGGUUCAAUAGUGAAAGACGGUUUUGCUGUCACUUAUAGAUGGAUCCGCGCCGCAUUAGCUAGUUGGUAAGGUAACGGCUUACCAAGGCAACGAUGCGUAGCCGACCUGAGAGGGUGAUCGGCCACACUGGAACUGAGACACGGUCCAGACUCCUACGGGAGGCAGCAGUAGGGAAUCUUCCGCAAUGGGCGAAAGCCUGACGGAGCAACGCCGCGUGAGUGAUGAAGGUCUUCGGAUCGUAAAACUCUGUUAUUAGGGAAGAACAAAUGUGUAAGUAACUAUGCACGUCUUGACGGUACCUAAUCAGAAAGCCACGGCUAACUACGUG